AUUGAACGCUGGCGGCAUGCCUAAUACAUGCAAGUCGAGCGCGCGGCGGACGGGUGAGUAAUGUCUGGGGAUCUGCCCGAUGGAGGGGUAUAACUACUGGAAACGGUGGCUAUUACCGCAUACUAUCGGCUGAACCCAUAUGGGAUUAGCUAGUAGGUGGGGUAACGGCUCACCUAGUCGACGAUCUCUAGCUGGUCUGAGAGGAUGAUCAGCCACACUGGGACUGAGACACGGCCCAGACUCCUACGGGAGGCAGCAGUGGGGAAUAUUGCACAAUGGGCGCAAGCCUGAUGCAGCCAUGCCGCGUGUAUGAAGAAGGCCUUAGGGUUGUAAAGUACUGUCAGCGGGGAGGCGUUACCCGAAGAAGAAGCACCGGCUAACUCCGUGCCAGCAGCCGCGGUAAUUC
rnacentral:rRNA from 1 species